rnacentral:lncRNA from 1 species
CUUGAAUCAAUAUUUAUCUGAAAUGUUUUUCUCAUUCUUCUGGGAGAAAACCAUAUCGUGCAGCUUCUUGGCUGAUAGUUUAGGGCAGGUCACAUCUUCAGAACUGGUUUUCCUGCAGGAAUACGGACUCACAGCGCCCGCAUCCAGAGCAGAGCGGCACGGAGGGAAAGGCUUCAGCACCACGGGCAGCGCCCACGCCAGGGCAGGCGGCGGGAGUGGGCACGGCCGGACGGCAGCGGCUCAUGGCUCAUUGCCAAAGGGAGGCAAGCUGGUCGUGCUGAGCAGGAAGGGCCUUUUUGUGCCUGGGCAAAGGUGGCUGUGGUGCGCCUUGGAGAAAGCACAGAACAACAGAGCACGGUGGAAAGCUGCUCUGAUAGAGCCUAUGCUAUGGGAAAGAGAUACUCCUGGAAUAUGGCGAGACCAGAGAAGAUGGAGCCAAGCGGCACCAGUUGUGAGAGUGCAGCAGCAAGGCUUGAGUUUCAGAAGUGGAAGAGGGGUGAAGCAGUCCCACACUGUGAGCAUUCAGAAGCUGCUUGCAAAGAAUUUGGCUUCCAGUUUAUGAAGAUCCAUGACCACUUCAACAUGUUUAAAGGUAAUUUAAACACAGCUAUGAAGGAAAAGGAGAGUAAAUUAAGAACAUCUGUGCUCUGGGAGUUGCAGGGC